ACUCGUGACGGUGGAUGUCUUGGCUCCAGCAUCGAUGA
rnacentral:rRNA from 1 species